ensembl:lncRNA
CACUGGGAGACCAGCAUUAGCCAUGAUGACUCUCCAGUGAAUUUAGCCUCUGAAUGCGACAGGACUGAAACCAUAAAGGGAGCCAGUUUCCAAAAAAGCAAGGAUGACAUCAUCACCUGAACUUGGGAGGAUGCGGGGUGCCAAAACGGGUAUCUGUGGACAUUUGUGGGUCGUCUGCUAUUUCCAGAUGAGAAAACUGAGGCUCAGAGAGGUAAAGCCACUUGCUCAAGACCAUUCAGCUGUGUGUUCAGCGAUACUGAUGUGGUCCAAAGUGAUAUGAAAUGCCCCACUGCUGAUGGUGAUCUUGGAUAAGAGAGAAAAUACAGCUCUUGAAGUCCUGAGUUUGGAAGAACAGUGAAUUUCAAUUCACAAGUUAUGAAGGCAGCGAUAACCUGUGAUUUGGUUGCAAGCGAAGAUGGUUUUCAUUUUAUCAGCAACAUAAAUUUGUCAAAAUCGUCAGCAGGUGGGAUUCCGUAUUCUGUACGAUUAACAGUGAUAAUGGAAGAAGAGUUUUAGUAUUCCACAAUUGAAAUGACCCCGUUAGUAAUGAAACAAAAUUGGUGCACUAAAAUGUUUUCUUGAAGAAAGGCUUU